UAGAGGCUGGCUAGCAAACUUAAAGGAUGAGGAGAGACUUGGUCGGGCUCCAAUGGGCUGUAAACAGGGGAGGAAUGGCAAGGCACUAUUUGUUCCUCUCCCUUCAGUGUUUCUGGAACAGCACCCGGAGUCCUGUGCUGAGUUUUGUUUUCCCCACAGGGAGACUGAUAAAUCAGAGCAAGUCCAGCUGAGGGCCACCAAGAUACUCGGGGGCUGGAUCAAGUUGCACACUGAGAGUUGGAGAGAGCUGUGCUGUAGCCAGAGGAAGAGUUGGAGAGAGCUGUGCUGUAGCCAGAGGAAGAGAAAGCAAUUAGGGUCCUUUUGGAUUGUGAAAGUUUUGCAGGCUGAUGUGAUUUUUCUUCUGGGGACUAAACAGUGUGGAGUUCGCAAGGAAUCCUCCGUUUUCCUUGAAGAUGGUUGUUACUCUGCAGUGCAAGUUGAUAUCCAAGCUUGUGUAGACACCGAUGUGCUCCAGAAUCUCCUGACACAAGACACCAUAUGCUAGAGCAAGAAUAAACACCCAAAAUGAACAUCCUUUAGCAGAGCUUUUCAGAAAAACUGUCAAGUCUGAGGAAUGUUUUGGAUUUGCAAAUGGCAAUGAAGUUGUUCUUACCUUGUAUCUUCAAGUGUACAAACACCUCUUUUCCUUUACAGUUGAAAGGAAGCCUGAGUAGAGCUUACAUAGGUAUAACACUUAAUGCAUAUUUGAAUACAAAUGUUUGUUACAAGAUUUCCCUUUAUUCUUUAGUAUUCAUAAAUCUUCCUUUCAGAGGGAAAUCAUGCACUUAAUCUUGCAUAACAUGUUCAGAAUAUAUGAAGUUCCAGAAAAGAUACCAAUUGAGUAGUUCCACGUAGGAAAAGAUCUGAAAAUGCAAAUGGUUUAUAAAUAUUAAUAGCUUAAAUCUUUUCACUGAACUCCUGGCCCUCCCCAUAUUUGGGGGGGGAAAUAGAUUGUUAAUAUCAGCUUCUCAGAGGUAGGGGAGAAGGUGUUUGAGCAGUAGCAGAUGGUGUCUUAUCUGGGUCUGUUUUAUGUUGUAAGUGAAGCAAAGCAGGUAUGAGUGUUAGCUCUUACACUUAAACACCUGUGUUUCUGUUGCUUGAACAAACAGGAGUUGGCUAGCCUGAUACCAACGAAAGGCUAAGGGUUACUGUAAGUGAGCAGAGGUGUAUGUUAUUGCAGAUCAGUGGAAAUAUUAAGUGCAGAUGAAAUAAUCUUCUCAAGCAGCAGCUGUGUUGCUGGUUCUUUUCCUUUUCCAUCAUUUAAAAGGACACUUACCUUAGGGCAGGAGGUCAGAGGAUGGGGUUCUAGGACAGCAUGUUCAGCAGGCUCUGGUUCCAUAGCCUACCUGGCCCCCCAGAAGCAGGUAGUUUGGUUUUUGCAACCGAGUUAUUGCAAUGCCAGUGCAAACUAGGUCUGAAAUGCAAUGUUGCAGUUUGAGGCAUAACCUCCCUGUGACAAUAUCAACAGGUCUUAUUAAUUCUGUAAGGU